rnacentral:lncRNA from 1 species
AACUUUAAAGCAGGCACUGAUUUAAUGUAAAAUGUCAAAGAGAAGGUGAUUAUCCAAUGAUUUUGUCUUUCAAAAUAUUUAUUUCAGGUAGAAACUAGGAAGACAAUCACAUGUAAAAUAGUUCCAUAAAAAACUUUGACAAAUACACUCAUCUGGUCAUUAAAAAUAAAAACCUGAAAAUAAUAUUACAUUAAGCACUUCGAUUGAAAACAGUGUUUUGUUAUUUAAGUAAAAAGCCCAAAGCAGUCCCCAGUGAAGAGCUAGUAAGCUCUUCUGUUCAUACACACAGCCCUUAGACAAGAAUCAUAAACAUUUUUAUCCAGAAUGGUCUCCCAUCCCCAAAUUCUGAUCUUUUAUUUUUGUUACUCUUAUGGAAAUUAUUCAGUGUGUUAAUGUGCUUUUCAUAAACUUUUUUUUC